AAUAGCUCACUAGUCGAGUGACUCUGCGCCGAAAAUGUACCGGGGCUAAGCAUAUUACCGAAGCUAUGGAUGCAUCCAUCAGGAUGCGUGGUAGGAGAGCGUUCCAAGGGCGAUGAAGUCAGACCGUAAGGACUGGUGGAGCGCUUGGAAGUGAGAAUGCCGGUAUGAGUAGCGAAAGACAGGUGAGAAUCCUGUCCACCGAAUGACUAAGGUUUCCUGGGGAAGGCUCGUCCUCCCAGGGUUAGUCGGGACCUAAGUCGAGGCCGAGAGGCGUAGACGAUGGACAACAGGUUGAUAUUCCUGUACCAGUUGAUUGUGCUUGAGUGAUGGAGUGACGCAGAAGGCUAAGCGAUCCGGACGAUUGGAAGUGUCCGGCCAAGCAGCAAGUCAGUUGAUGAGUCAAAUGCUUAUCAGCGAGUUGACAAGCUGUGAUGGGGAGCGAAAUUAUAGUAGCGAAGUCGUUGAUGUCACGCUGCCGAGAAAAGCUUCUAGCGAAUAAUCAACUGCCCGUACCGCAAACCGACACAGGUAGUCGAGGAGAGUAUCCUAAGGUGAGCGAGCGAACUCUCGUUAAGGAACUCGGCAAAAUGACCCCGUAACUUCGGGAGAAGGGGUGCUGAUCGCAAGAUCAGCCGCAGUGAAAAGGCCCAGGCGACUGUUUAUCAAAAACACAGGUUUCUGCAAAAUCGUAAGAUGAAGUAUAGGGGCUGACGCCUGCCCGGUGCUGGAAGGUUAAAAGGAAGAGUUAGCUUCGGCGAAGCCCUGAAUUGAAGCCCCAGUAAACGGCGGCCGUAACUAUAACGGUCCUAAGGUAGCGAAAUUCCUUGUCGGGUAAGUUCCGACCCGCACGAAAGGCGUAACGAUCUGGGCACUGUCUCAACGAGAGACUCGGUGAAAUUGAAUUGCCUGUGAAGAUGCAGGCUACCCGCGACAGGACGGAAAGACCCCAUGGAGCUUUACUGUAGCUUGAUAUUGAGUGCUUGUACUGCUUGUACAGGAUAGGUAGGAGCCAUAGAAGCCAGGACGCUAGUUUUGGCAGAGGCGUUGGUGGGAUACUACCCUUGCAUUAUGAUCACUCUAACCCGCACCACUGAUCGUGGUGGGAGACAGUGUCAGGUGGGCAGUUUGACUGGGGCGGUCGCCUCCCAAAAGAUAACGGAGGCGCCCAAAGGUUCGCUCAGAAUGGUUGGAAAUCAUUCGCAGAGUGUAAAGGCACAAGCGAGCUUGACUGCGAGACAGACAGGUCGAGCAGGGACGAAAGUCGGGCUUAGUGAUCCGGUGGUUCCGCAUGGAAGGGCCAUCGCUCAACGGAUAAAAGCUACCCUGGGGAUAACAGGCUUAUCUCCCCCAAGAGUUCACAUCGACGGGGAGGUUUGGCACCUCGAUGUCGGCUCGUCGCAUCCUGGGGCUGUAGUCGGUCCCAAGGGUUGGGCUGUUCGCCCAUUAAAGCGGUACGCGAGCUGGGUUCAGAACGUCGUGAGACAGUUCGGUCCCUAUCCGUCGCGGGCGUAGGAAAUUUGAGAGGACCUGUCCUUAGUACGAGAGGACCGGGAUGGACAUACCGCUGGUGUACCAGUUGUUCCGCCAGGAGCAUCGCUGGGUAGCUAUGUAUGGAUGAGAUAAACGCUGAAAGCAUCUAAGCGUGAAACUCGCCUCAAGAUGAGAUUUCCCAUUCCUUAU
rnacentral:rRNA from 1 species